CGGCCGGGGCGAGCUGGCUGGCGACUGCACCCGCGCUGCGCGCUCCUGCUGUGUCUGGAGCUUCCGCGUCUCCCCGAGCCGCCCGACUCUGCGCCUCCCACCUCCUCCUCCUCCCUCUCCCUCUCCUCCUCCUCCUCCUCCUCCUUCCCCCCUCUCCACCUCCCCGCCCUGCGCUCCCCCGCCCUCUGCUGCUCGAGGCCUCGCCAGUGACAAGCUACUGUAAGUGUGACUCGCUUCCACGAAGUCGCACACCCACAGAGGGAAGUAAUCGGCAGGCUGCGGUGGUGAGUGUUGCCUAGCGGUCUCCGAGAAAGGCGCGUCCGCCUCCUGGGAUAAUUAGGGCAAAGAAUCCUCCCGACGAUGCCUGCGAGGACCAGAGGUCCCCGAAGGAGGACGGGAAGCCAGCCCUAUCUCAGCCCUCAGCAGGAGGAGCCGCGGGUCCCUGGGUCUGGCAUUGCGCCUGCUGCCCUUUGCAGGCUGUGGCACCAACAACCUUGUCGUCACGUAACAGCGCAUUCGCAGGCUCUGCUGGUCCGUGGCUAGUUUCUUAAACACCCGUAUCCCUCACUGCCUUUGACCCUUCCUGUUCUUCUGGAAUGAGAUAAUUACUCAACGUGUUCUUGAGAAGUGAACGGUACACUAUCUAAACUCAGCGACAGUGGGUCGGUUUGCGAUCUCACGGAAUCAAAGAACUUGACUGUUGGCAUUUGUACUAUGCUGGGUAAUACAUGAGGAUCUAAUGCGUUUAUUUCAAUGACAGGACGCUUUUGUGAUAGAAUACUUUAGUAGUGAAAUUACAUAAUGGGAAAACAUGCAGUUAAUUCCAGUGAAAUUAACACGGGUGUAAUAACGUCGGAGUUUUAAUUUUUUUAAAUUACUUUAAUUGCACGUGGUCCAUUACACUGAAAGUGUAGCAAAUAACUAGGGGAAAGGGCAGCUUAAAAGCAUCCUUUUUUUUUUUUUUCCUUCUGCUUCCCCUCUGUUGUGUCUUCCUGCUUUAAUAUCCUCCUUCAAUUUACUCAUUCAUUGUUUCAAAGAGAUACACCAGAAUGGCAAUUUCAGUACGCUAGCAUUACAUAUCAGAAUGCAAAGUGUCUCCCCAAAACGUGUGAUUUUAAAAGGAAGGCGUCUCAUUCAAUUCCAAGAUCGGGUUCGUGUUCACACCUACUCAAGCUAACUGAACACCAGUCUGACACACCUCGACUCUUGAUGUCUUCACAAUAAAUUUGUCACCAUUGUUGGCUGAUGACCUUUGGGUUUUGUUUAGAUGCUUGCGAUAAAGGUGAAAGAACAGAGCAGCGGUGACUCACUAUUUUGAAGAGGUGGAAGUUUAUCUUUGAUUCCCCCGCCCCCCAAGAUGUUUUGGCACUAGGAAGCUGAAAACAGAUUCAUGCUAUUGUAAUGUGCUCCAAAUGCAUGAAGCAAAUAGAGAGGUAAGGCAGUGAAUCCGUCUUCCAGUUUGGCAAAAAUCCUCACUGUGAGGAGGAAAGUUAAAAUUUAUGUCUAUUUGAGGAUGGUUCAAAAUGGGAGUCUUUCCCCCACCUCUGUCCAUAGCUAAGCUACAUUAGAUUUUCUAUAAGGAAUAGCAGCAAGAAACAGAGAGCUUUCAGUCCACGCUAAAGCUAAUAUAAGACACUGGCAGUUCAGUGGCCACUGAGCCUCUGCUUUACUUCUUUAGGCCUCAGUGAUCUCAUUAAUGAGAUCAGGGAUUUACUUAGAGGGUCUCCAAGCUCCCACCUCCUCCUUUUUCCGUGUGUGUGUGUGUGUGUGUGUGUGUGUGUGUGUGUGUGUGCGUGCGUGCUAUCAGCCUAGAAGAGUUAAUAAUGUAUAAUUAUUGAAUAUCGACUAUAUAGAAAUCAAGUUUAUUUAGCCUAAAAUUUAUAUUCUUGUAUUACCAAAGGCUUAGUGUGUGUCUGGUUUGAUGAAGUUUUAAAUUCAGUAUUCCCUUUUUCUGAAAUGUCUUUCUUAUGCUUCUCUCACUUUGGUGCCUGUUACUCCUUUCUAGAGAAGUCUCCUCUACUCAGACAUGAAAUGGCCUCACUAUACACUACACUGCUUCUUAGGACUGAAGGAAAGCCAGAUAUUCAGGCCUGAGGUUUUCCUGACAAAAUAUUGAGUUGGUUUGUUUCUUGGAAUGAGCCACAGCUUGCAAUUUCUAUCAGUCAACACAAUAGCAGUAUUUUCUGAAUGUAAAGCUAAAGAAAAUUACCUGACCUCUCAUAUAUAUAUAUAUAUAUAUAUAUAUAUAUAUAUAUAUAUAUAUAUAUAUAUAUCUCACAAAGAUUUUCUUGGGCAUUGGUCAUAUGACCAUAAAAGCAUGGUCUUCUACUUGAGGUGAAUGAUUUAAGAGAUUCAGAAUGCUUAAUGUACAAUACCUUCUAUUGUCCCAGUGUUCGUUUAUUUAUUUAUCACACUCAUUUGAAAGAAAUAACAGCUGUAAAAGGAAGUACCAAAAACAAUGAUAAAAUUUUAUUUUUACCAAAAGAUUGUUAAUCAGAGAAUGUUGUAUUGGUGGCUCGGCUUUGGCCUCAAUUUCAAAGACUUUGUACUUGGCCAUAUGUUAUUUUCUUGUAAUAUAAUCAAUCUUAGCACACUUACACCAAACCAAGGCAUUGAAUACAAACUAGUCUUUUUUUUUUUUUUUCACUUGUGCUACAAACUUGCCCAAUCAAUGUUAGGACAUUUAUUAGUUUGGAUGGUCUAUCAUCUGUAUUUGUCAUAGAAAUUAUGUUUCAAAAUGAGAAAUUUUCUGACUUCUUAGAUCUUUGCUUAUAUGGCUUUACUACUAAGUUGGAUUAUUGUUUCUUUUAUUUACUAUUUUUUGUUUGCUCUUAGAAAAUUAUGUAGAGCAACACUGACCGUGCACCUUGAGAGUUGAGUGUCCUUGUAUUUACAAUGUUGUAGAUAUGUUAAAUGAAUUUAUAAGCCUGCAUUUAUCUUUUCUACAUUCAAAACAGAAGAAAAGCAGUCUUGACAAAAACAUUGUAUUAUUUACUGAAAAUUUACUUUCCAUAAAGUACUAUUUGAUGAUUUUACAUAAAUCACUUCACCCAACAUAUAGGUGGGUGUAAUUAUUAGUCCUAUGUUAACGAGAAAAUGAGGGAACCAGGUUAGGUGACCUAUGUCCUCACACAGCUGGUAGAAGGUUCAAAUUUGAACACAAAUAUUGGCUUUAUUCAAACAGAUGUCGAUGUAACAGAAGUAAACAUAGUUUACAUUUGUUUAAACAUAAUGAUAAAAAAAAGGCUAAGAAGGUGAUCUCAAAAGUCUACCUUAAUGGGAACAAUUUGAUAAAAUAUUACACUUUUAAGAUUGAUUUAAAACAAAAACAAAUAUCAUAGUAAACAGAGGAUGAUAAACAGGGAAAUAAAGAAGCUAGAGAUAUCAGUAAAUGCUACUUGGAGACAAAGAUCAACAAUCACAAAAUGUAUAGUAUAGCACUCUGUGUGUGUGUGUGUGUGUGUGUGUGUGUGUGUGAGAGAGAGAGAGAGAGAGAGAGAGAGAGAGAGAGAGAGAGAGAGAGAGAGAGAGAGAGAGAAAGAGAGAGAGAGAGAGAAUGAAAAGAUACUGUAGAGAUAUUGGACCAUCAGGAUUAAGGAUUGUGAACAACUAACAUUAGUACAGAUAAAUGACAAAAAACUCAUUUAUAAACCAUUGUAGAAAAUAAAAUUCUCUACAAUUUUUUGAUUUAAAUGACUUUUAUCAUUUUUGCAUCAUUCUUUUCAGGGAGAAUUUAGUUAAAGUGAGAGUGUAGCAAAUAAUCAAAAUAUUGCCUAGAGAAACCACAAAUUGCCACAGUGAAGUUAUUUUCUAGGAUAAAAAAUAAUAAUAUACUUUUUAUAUCCUGAUUUUUUUAAUGAAUGUAAAAUGGUUUAUUCAAUAUUAGUUUAUCAUUAAAACAUUUUUUCCUGAACAUCUAGAUUCCAUUCUCUCUACUAAUGAGUCACAUUUCUAAGAUUUAAUGGGAGAUUAUAUUUAAUUUAGAGGUUGUUAGUUAUCAGUUGGGGAUUUAAGUUAAAAGCCAAUAAAUAAUUGCAUUUUAAGAAAUUAGUAAACAGGGCACACGAGAUGGGCUUAGUUGUUAAAAAAGCAACCUCUAUUCUUCCAUAAGACAUGAGUUUGGUUCCGAGAACCCAUAGUGGGCAGGUGAUGCCCACUUCUGGUUCUAUGGGCUUCCAUAUGACACAUGUACACAUAGUCACACACACACACACACACACACGUAUCAUACAUACAUACAUAAAUCAUACAUGCAUGUAUAUAAUUAAAAGGAAAUGGGUAAAAAAGAAAUGAAAUAUAAUUUCUUUCUUAGCAAAAAUUAAAACAUUCCAUUAGAAACUUAAGUUGCUAAGCAUAAAUAUCCUAAUCACUGGAAAAACUUUCCCUUUUCUUUGACUUUUAAGAACAGAGUAGAGUCUACACGGUUGCUAAAGGAACUCUGUAGUAAAGAAGGAAAUCAUGUACAAAUAUCACAGAAAGCCCAAGAGCACAGUGGGUCAUGCUGGUUUAUUCUUUAAUCAUCCUCACACCAACGUUCAAAGUUGGAGGAAAUUACAUGGAGAAGGCCACUGCAGUUUAUGAGGAACCAAACUGACUCACUAGGAUGUUCUUUGGUGGCUGUGUUUGCCUCCAGCAUCUUGGGCAGCUGGUGUCAUGUAAAGAAGUGGACAGUGAAAAUAAUAAGGACUCUUGAGGCUGAAGAGGUAGGAAAGCAUCUUCAAAUGAUGCUAUUAUGGGAGGUAAAAUUCCAUUAAAUUCUGAGCAAUGUUGUGGACUAUAGAUGUAUAUUUAAUAUCAUGUGAAAAAUAAACUGUAAUAAGCUCCAUAAUCUCAGUACAGAGUGUUAAGUUCAGUACUAUGCUGAAUUAAAAAUAUAACUAAUUGAUACACACAAUAUCAUAUUUUAUAACAUAUGUAGUAGUUUGCUAGGAGCAAAAACUACUAGGUUUUCUCAAUGGCAUAGGGAAAAAUAGAGAUCUAUGUGACUAGGUUUUACAGCCAUUGUAGAUAGCCUGUGAAAUGAGAUUCUUGGUAAAAUUCAGCGAUGACAGUCUCAUGUACUUGCUGGUGGCAUGCUAAUUAGGAGCCUCUUUGGUAACAUGUUUUAAUAAUUUUAUCAUGCCUUUCUAAUGUGGUUAAUUAAUUAAGCCCAGGAACUUCUAAAUUUUUCAGCAAAUUAGUUAAACUGGACUAAAUAUUAAAGCUGGGUCAUAUUGAUGAAUAUAAAUAAGUAAUACUCUGAUGUACAACGAGCACUAGUGAAUGUAAAGGAAUACAAGGCAAUUCUCACAGAGCUAUUUAAGUGCUCUGAAAUAUAUUUAUCUAUAUAAGAAGAUAGCUACAAAAUGUCAAAUUACCAAGGUAUAAUAAAAGGUAAUCUAUGCUCUAAAUAAAUAAAAUAAAUCUAUGCUUGUGCUCAAUUCUAUAUGUGAACAGUGAGGUAAUUUAAAUUUCUUCAUUUGAUAUUUUUAUGUUACAUAUUUUUUACAAUUCACGUUUAUCACAUGUGCAGUGAUAGACUAACAGUAAAAAAAAUGAAAAGUCCUGCAAAGCAGUGUGCAUUUCCACACUGAGCAGGCAAAGACAAUGAAGGAGGAGAGCGACAGAGAAGAGCAGAAAGAUGGUGCCAGCGAGCAUUCUUAUCUACAAUCAUUUCUCACCCAUUCUAUGUACAUCGGACCAUCAUUUGUUUGAUGUAAAGAUUUUUAUGAUCUCCACAAUAUUUCUAAGUAUUCCAAAAUUCUUUAGAGGGAAUAGAUAGGCUCUGUCAUGUACUUCAUGUCUCAGUGAAGUCUCUGAAAAACCCUCCAGCUGCCUCAAUCACUGAGUGUAUUUCGCAUCUAAGUUUGUGUUGUUUUUAAGUGCUAUGUCCUGCAAUAUAACAGAGAAUUGCAUUUUUUUCAUUAAAUAUUUUCCUGAUAUGCAUUGUCCUGUAUCUGUCCCUCUUCAAAGACCACUUAUUACUUCCCUUUUUCAGGCACUUAAAAUUCUUACCUUUUCCACUGAACAAAUUAUUUCCAAAAUCAGCCUCUUCAUCAACAGUCUUUGGACAAAAUCACUUGUAGAGGCUCCACCCACACAAUUCAAUAACCACAACUCAGAAAACUCCAUAGCAGCUAUCACAACUCCCUUCUCUACCGCCUCAGCACGGCCUCAGUUUCUUAAAGCACACCAUGUUUAAUUCCUCAUGCAAUUUGUAAAAGUUUAGCACGCCAGAGAAAGGACUAGUUGGAAAAGACAGAUACUAAGAACAACAACAAUAAUAACAAAAACCCUUUGAUUACCAUGAAUGUUUGCCAUGGUUUGGUGUUGAUAGUUUAUAAAGCUGGCUGAUUCCAUUAAAAAGUCUAUAAGACACUUCUGUUAAGUUGAGGAAGCAUCGAUACUAACACCCUGAAGAAAAACAUCACUAUAAAAAAAGCACAAUUACAAACUGAAUUCAUGGUUUGUAAUUUACCAUUAAAGCUUCCUCUUAGAUCUUAAUGUGAUGAUCUAAUGAAAAUUUGUAAAAUAUAAAACUAAAUUUAUACUAUUUUACUGCAGGUGUACAUUUUAAAUAAUACGUCAUUCUCCUUGGAAAAAGGAAAUUCAGGAAAAACUGUCUUUCUUUUCCUAAACUUUAUAAAACAUAAUCAAACCAAUUUUUAUACCAAAAAAUAAUUCCAGGUUAACAAAGAAUAAUUAAAAAUGUUUAUUUUUAAAAAGGCUGAUGUAAAUAGUUCCCACAUCUUUGAAGAAAUAAAAACAUUUUCCCAGGUGAUCUCAUGUCUUCUGUAGGAAGCAGGCCUUGACUCUUACCGAGCGGCUCAUCAGGGUUCCCAUGAGGACAAGCAAAAUAGAACAUAAGUAUCCUCAAAAUGAGAUGGGAUUCCACAAUGCAAACAUUUGCAACAUUGAAUUUUCUCUAAAGAUUUUGCUUGUCAAAAAUAAUUUUACUUCAAAUGAUUUUUUUGGUAAACACUUUGUUUUGAGUUAAUUAUAGAGUCAAAGAACAUUGCUAAGAACCAUGAAAAGGAAAUCCCCUGUAUCAUUCCUCAAAUCUCUCCACACUGAAUAUAAUACAUAUUUGUAAUGCAGAGCAAACUAAGAAAUUGACGCUGACACAAUUGAUAAGGCCACUCUGAUUCCACCAGUAAUACAUGCAGCUAUUUGUAAGCAUGUGCAAACAUUCAUAAAUUUUACUGUAUUUAUAGACUGGACAAUCGACAAAUAGAUCACAUCACCCACCUGUUCAUCACUACAGUAAUUCUUCUAAGCACUGGUUUGCAAAUCUUAGGAGUAUCUUUGACCACUAGUCACUGGAAAUCACCUAUCAAUUUCUAACAGCACUGUUUUGCUAUUUCAUAACUGCUGCAUAAAUGAAAUGAUGCUGUGUCUCCUUUUGAGAUUAACUUUUUGCAGUCAUCAUGAUUUCCUUGAAGUUCAUACAAGCUGUUUGCAUAUUAAUUUUUCAGGUUCUUUCAUUGCUGAGCAGUGUCCCAGAGUCAAGGCACACCACUAGUUGUCUAACCAUUAACUCACUGAAGGAUAUUUGAGUGGUUUCAAGCUUUGGGAUAACACAAAUAAAUUUGCUAUGAAUUUCCAAGUACAAGUUCAUAUGUGAAAAUAUUCAUAUCUCUGGAGUAAAUACUAAAGAGUUCAACUGUUUUGUUGUGAAAGUUAGUUCAUAUCAAGACUUUUAAAGGACACUGGAUUUAGCCACAAACAUGCCUUGCUAACUCAAUCCAGCAAAGCAUAAUUACCUGGAUAUAAUUGUGACAGUAUAUAGGAAAUAUCAAUGUAUUACUCAAUGGUGUGGGGUGCUUACCUAGCUUGCAUGAGUUAUGAUUUAUGUCUCUAGCAGAGAAAAAAAACUAAGGGGAGGGAAAACACUGAAAAUGGAUGUAACUUUUCAAAUCUUGAGUAAUUAGCUAAUAAGAUUAAUAAUUGCAAAAUUUAGAAAUUAUAUAAAUACACUGAUAGAAAAAUUCCAUAAUGGCAUGUUUCUAAUUGUAGACUUUAAGUACACUAAUAUAAAUUAUUUUUUUAAACUAAUAUCGAUACAAAUAUUUACUCCAAUUUUUCUCAAAAUGUGUUCUUCAAUGGUAUUUCAUAUUUUCAAAUAAUUUUAUUCAGACUCAUAAUACAUAUACUCUCAUGUGAAUGGGUAACUUAUAUCACUUGGUAGUGAAUUGGCAUUUCAAAGGCUGAGUUCAAAUAUAUUUGUGGAGAUAUUUUUGAGUUCAUUCAAGCUGAGCAGUACUUCUUAUCUUUUGAAAUGUCAGGUACCUUCUCUGAGGAAAAUGGAAAAAGAUCUCUUUUUACACAUGAUUACUUAUUGUGGGAAUAUGGUUAUGACUUCAGUCUUCAAAGCUCACGGUGAGGUAAAAAUGUAUACAUCUGUAUGCAGAAAUUUCUCUUUUUUCUUAAAAAAGGAAAAGACUUACUAAACAUAAGUCAGUUAUAUUAAAUAUUUUAUGUCAUUGGUUAUAUGUGAAGUCUCAUUUUUAUAUCUUUCUAUUUUGGUUUAAGAUAGUUAAAAUGAUUAUGCGUAAUUAUCCAAUAACAUUCUUGUACAUAUAAAAAAGCAGUAUUCUAAAAUAUUUUAGUAUGAUUUCUGGAAAAUAAGUAUAGCACAAAAAUAUUAAUAAUGAAGAGUCAAAUAAAACACAGACAUGACCUUUACCCCAUAUGCUAUAUAAUAAGGUACUGGAUAACUUGUUUUAUCAAAAUAUGGAUAUAAACGAAUAAAACAAUUUACACAAUGGAUUCAGAAAUAUAUUUGUGCCGGGCGGUGGUGGCGCACGCCUUUAAUCCCAGCACUCGGGAGGCAGAGCCAGGCGGAUCUCUGUGAGUUCGAGGCCAGCCUGGGCUACCAAGUGAGUUCCAGGAAAGGCGCAAAGCUACACAGAGAAACCCUGUCUCGAAAAACCAAUAUAUAUAUAUAUAUAUAUAUAUAUAUAUAUAUAUAUAUAUAUAUAUAUAUAUAUAUAUAUAUUUGUAUACACAUAAUACAUAGCUGAAGUCUCAAAUUAUCAAAAAAAGUCAUUAGAUGAACUCUAACUCUUGCAUGGAUGAGCUACCCAUCCUGAUUGGAGAUAGCAGAGGCUAAAAGAUUUUUUUAAAGAGAUAAUCUGGAAGAAUAAGGAAUACAAUUUAAGUCAUGAUUAUGCAGUUAAUUCAGUGAUCAAUAAAAAGAAUAAAAUUGUUGAAAUUAAAAAAAUUAAGGAGGCUUACAUAAUCAUAAAAUAUGUCUUAACUCAUUUGCCAAUAACAUUACAGAGAAGUAAAAAUCUUUCUAGUAAAGAUCAAGUAAAAACCAACAAGUAUGAAUAAUAAGAAGGUAGGAUUCUAAUGAUUAGAUGUAUAAAAAAUGAAAAAAAAAAUUAUUGUCUUUAUCAAUGCAAAAUAAUUUUAUAUAGUGAAAUAAACAUACAAAGUUAAUCAGAAAUAAUAGAGUGGGUUAUUUUAGUGAGAUAGUUAAUUAUGGUGUUAGGGCCAUAAGACAGUGCUUAAGGUAAGGUAUAUGAGUCCAUGAAUUCUAUGCAUGUUCAAUGUUAAUGGAAGUAUAAAAUAAUCAGAGAUAUCUUGUGUUUUGGGGGGAAUAUUUGUAAUUAAACAUUUUUUUCAUACAAUA